AUUGAACGCUGGCGGCAUGCCUUACACAUGCAAGUCGAACGGUAACGCGGGGGCAACCCUGGCGACGAGUGGCGAACGGGUGAGUAGCGCAUCGGAACGUGCCCAGUAGUGGGGGAUAGCUCGGCGAAAGCCGGAUUAAUACCGCAUACGACCCACGGGUGAAAGCGGGGGACCGCAAGGCCUUGCGCUAUUGGAGCGGCCGAUGCCCGAUUAGCUAGUUGGUGAGGUAGAGGCUCACCAAGGCGACGAUCGGUAGCUGGUCUGAGAGGACGACCAGCCACACUGGGACUGAGACGCGGCCCAGACUCCUACGGGAGGCAGCAGUGGGGAAUUUUGGACAAUGGGGGAAACCCUGAUCCAGCCAUGCCGCGUGCGGGAAGAAGGCCUUCGGGUUGUAAACCGCUUUUGGCAGGAACGAAACGGCGCGGGCUAACACCUCGCGCUAAUGACGGUACCUGCAGAAUAAGCACCGGCUAACUACGUGCCAGCCGCCGCCGUAAGAC
rnacentral:rRNA from 1 species